rnacentral:pre_miRNA from 1 species
UGAGUUCGGACUGAAGUAUAUCCAUAGUUUUUGAGAUGUACAAUGUCCUAGCUCGAU